UCCCUCACUGUGUCACCAUGCAGUCCUAAGCACCAUGGUGACUGCUAUCUGUGGGAGAUACGAUAACAAGUGCUUCUGAUAGCACCUCUCGCAACUGUCAGUUCCAUUAAGAAGGGCUCACACCCAAUGAUGUGGGCCACCCAUCGCUCUCUUCAGAGCUCAGCGCUCGACCCCCCCCCUCCCCAAAAGCCCUGCUACUUCCACCACUCGCUGUUGUCACCAUGGAACCAUGGCCUUUCUACUACAUGUCUGUGCCAAUUUCACAUUUUUAGGGAUAAACGGUCUCAAGGGGGGGAUAGUGUCCGUAAAUGCGAAAGCCCUUACUGCCCUUACUGAAGACUCGAGGCAUAGGCCUGUGUGAGCUUGUGUUGCUUCUCUCUUUUUCCAGCAUAUUGGGUUUUUUUUUUUUUUUUAAUUACAGAGGCUCAGCACACCCUGGAAUAAAAAGUGAAGUCGUUCAUUCACGGAAUCCAUUUCUAUUAUCACAGGCUUGUGGUAAAAUAUUGAUGGUGGGGUUCUUAAUAAGCACUGUUUAGGCAAGGCUGCCUUCAAAUGUCAUUAUGCGGAGGGGUUAUCUGAGCCUGUGGAUCAAUAGGCCAAUAUACAGUUGGCUCAAAGGAGGCCUGUCACUGAAUGAACACAUUUCUUCUUUCAGCACAGAGGAACAAAGACGCAGAGAUGAUCUACAUAUGUCUGUCUCUCUCUCUCUCGCUCGCUCUAUCUUUUCUUCUUUUACUCUGGGAAUCACUUUGUUUUGUUCUGCAUUGCUUGGACUUGUAUUUCCAGAAUGUGUCCACCAGGGGGCUGGGUGAAACCUGCUCCCCUGCCUCAGUGGCAGGUGGUUAAUGUGUGACCACUCGCAGCAUGGAGAAGGACCAGAUGCAAACAUAUGUUCACAUACUCUAGUCACAGAGAGAAAGGCAGAGAGAGGGAGAGAGUGAGAGAGCAGAAACUGAAAGGGAGAGAGAGAGAGAGAGAGAGGGAGAGAAGGAGAGAGGGAGAAAGAUGGGAUAGAGGGUUGCUGAGAAAAAGAGGAAGAGUGGAUUAUAAAUCCCUCUUGAAGUGCCUCCAUAACUCAAU
ensembl:lncRNA